CCGAUUACAUGCAGGACCCCAGUGAACGGCCUCCGAAAGCUGGGCUGUUGAACUUAUCUUUUGUAAGAAGCUAGAGACAUAAUCUGGAGCUUUGAUGUUGCAUAAGGGAAGUUAGCUCACUGGCUGGUCGAGACAGCUGACUUCUGACUAUCAGCUAAUCACAUGGUUCCAGCGUCUAGAAAGUAUGCAACUAGAUUAUAACGACAGACGUCUAGACAUCAGGGAGGAGCCGUACUGCUGUGCGACAUAUAAUAUCUAUUCUGAUCUACUGAUCUGUACUUUUAAACUUUGUCCCUACGUGGUUAACACUGAUUAAUCAAUUCCUCAAAUAUAUGAGAUAUGCAUGGGUAUUGAUUUGAAAAUCAAGUGUUAUGCAAUUUGAAAAGAAAAAGUGAAAACUAAUGUUUGUU
rnacentral:sRNA from 1 species